rnacentral:rRNA from 1 species
UACGGGGGGUGCGAGCGUUGUCCGGAAUCACUGGGCGUAAAGGGCGCGUAGGUGGUCUGAUAAGGGUGUGGUGAAAGUCCGGGGCUCAACCCCGGAUCUGCCGUGCCGACUGUCAGACUCGAGGACUGUAGAGGCAGGCGGAAUUCCGGGUGUAGCGGUGGAAUGCGUAGAGAUCCGGAGGAAGACCGGUGGCGAAGGCGGCCUGCUGGGCAGUUCUGACACUGAGGCGCGACAGCGUGGGGAGCAACAG